GAUGAAGAACGUAGCGAAAUGCGAUAAGUAGUGUGAAUUGCAGAAUUCAGUGAAUCAUCGAAUCUUUGAACGCACAUUGCGCCCCAUGGUAUUCCGUGGGGCAUGCCUGUUCGAGCGUCAUUUACCCCCUCAAGCUCCGCUUGGUGUUGGGCGUCUGUCCCGCUUCGCGCGCGGACUCGCCCCAAAGGUAUUGGCAGCGGUCGUGCCAGCUUCUCGCGCAGCACAUUGCGCUUCUCGAGGCACCGGUGGGCCCGCGUCCAUCAAGCUCACCCCCCCAGUUUGACCUCCGAUCAGGUAGGGAUACCCGCUGAACUUAAGCAUAUCAAUAAGCGGAGGA
rnacentral:misc_RNA from 1 species